rnacentral:misc_RNA from 1 species
CCAAUAGCGUAUAUUAAAGUUGUUGCAGUUAAAAAGCUCGUAGUUGAAUUUCGGGAUUAGUACGCUGGUCGUGCCUUCGGUAUGUACUGGUGUUACUGGUUCCUACCUUCUGACGAACCGUCAUGUCAUUAAUUUGGUGUGGCGGGAAAUCAGGACUGUUACUUUGAAAAAAUUAGAGUGUUUAAAGCAGGCUCGCGCUUGAAUACAUUAGCAUGGAAUAAUGAAAUAGGACGUUCGAUCCUAUUUUGUUGGUUUCUAGGAUCAACGUAAUGAUUAAUAGGGAGAGUUGGGGGCAUUAGUAUUCAAUUGUCAGAGGUGAAAUUCUUGGAUUUAUUGAAGACUAACUACUGCGAAAGCAUUUGCCAAGGAUGUUUUCAUUAAUCAAGAACGAAAGUUAGGGGAUCGAAGACGAUCAGAUACCGUCGUAGUCUUAACCAUAAACUAUGCCGACUAGGGAUCGGAUGAUGUUAAUUUUUUAAUGACUCAUUCGGCGCCUUACG